GAAUUUAGAUAAUCAACUAAAUAAAGAUAUUUGAAAAUCAUUCCAUUGAAAUUCCAUAGAACUUAACUUAGUCUCACAAAUAAUUUGUAAUUCACUGCAAUUUUAGAGAAAUAUUAGUUCUUGUAUUUAAAUUAUUUUAAGGAACUGAAUCGUAAUAUUUUGAAUUUAAUCCAAUCUUUCAUGUGGCUUUGUUGAAUAACUUCUCUUGCAUCUUGAUUGAGCCCCAAUUUCUCCUCAGCGUUUUUCACAAAUGACUUUGCUUUCGAGAUGGAAAACAACAAGGCAGCAGUGUGGCUAGAAUGUGUUCCUCACGCCCCCAAGAAAGCAACUGCACUACAAUGCAUCCGUCAGGAUUAAAAAGGAUUAGGUGCAUGACGGUACAUGGAAUGCUAUGCAAUAGCGCUUACAUGAUUGAUUGUCUGUCAAGGAAGGUCAAAGGUCUCCUAAAUCACGUGAUCACAACCAUUCACCGUAGAACAACAGUCAGGAAACGGGAAUUGGAACUAAUCCGAACACUAUGCUGUACGCAUGUAUUACUCCCGAUCUGAAAUCAGACAGAACUAAGAACAAAAUUUCAUCCCGAUUAAUAAUUCGGAAAGUUUGUAAACUCAAUCCCCGGUAGAUCUCGAUGACCUGGUUAUUUUUUUCUUGAAAAAAGAAAAAAAGAAUUUUUUUUUCUACCUUAAUAAUUUAAUUGAGUUAAUUUUAAUUUAAGACUCCAAUUAAGAUUAGAGUUGAAAUGUUUUUGGGGUUACGGUUGAAAUGUAAUAACCAGUUUAUUUUAUAAGUUU
rnacentral:lncRNA from 1 species